GCCUGUUAGAAGCUGUGCCAGGCCAGGUUCCUGAGCACCAGUGCCAGCCUUGCCCAGAGAGGCCCUCUCCGAGUGUGGCACAGGAAUAGUGACAGCACCCAUUGACUUGCCUUUUGUGAAUCCAAGGAUCACCACUGAUCCAGCUAUAAAUCUUUAACCUAAUCUUUAAUGUUCUACUGAAGAAAGAAAUUCAUUAAAUCUUGGAUGUCCUUGAGGUGCCUGUGUGAGAGGGAGGGUUGAUUCUGUGAAGGAACCUGCCAACUACCACAUUUUGCUGACCAUCUGGCAAGAAGCAGUUACGCACCUGUUAGGAGCAGCUGCAGGAGACAGGAGCUAG